UCUAUAAUGUAUUUCUGUGACGCACAUGAUGUGUAAAGUUAAAGCUGCACUUAUGAAUAUUUUCCGACGACAUUAUAUCAGAUGAACGUGUAAUGUGAAAGGCGUGGCCUGUUGUGAGGCACCUGCAGAGAUCCAAAAACCUAACUUCAGGCAGCUGUUCCCAGCAAACAACCUGCCCAGCACUAAAAGGCAAAGUCUGUGAGUAGCUGGGAAGAAAA